GCCCUUUCAUUCGGCGGGCAGGCACCCUAUAUAGCUCAGGUCGGUUUCGGCCGACUAUGGUGAUAAAUGGUGUCGUGAAAUAGACACAGCGGACCCGGGGGCAGUACCCGGCGGCUCCACCACAAACCCGCCAAUCCGCAAGGAAAAGCGGGCUUCUGAGGGGGCCGAACCAGGAUCGACGUGUGUUCAAAGACGAUAUUUUUGCCCGGGCUGAGUAACCCGUUCAAGGCUCAAAACCAAUAGGUGCUAACGAUAACGAAGCACUCGCUCUGGCUGCCUAACCGAUAAGCCUCACGGCCUAAGGUUAGACAAAUAGAACGCGGUUCGGACCGAACCGGGCAACAGAAUCGGAAACC
rfam:Sphingopyxis bauzanensis strain DSM 22271 NODE_1_length_1336319_cov_55.7391, whole genome shotgun sequence.